GACCGUCUCGCCCGUGGCCGGCAAAAUGGCAGCCCCCCCCAGCGGGGAGCGGGGAUGGACCAAAUGAAAAGAAAUAAAAGAUCAAGCGCGAGGUUACCCCCAGCGCCGCCGCGCUCUCGGCCCCCAGGGACGCGCUGCCGGGGUGCAGGCAGCGCCUGCCGCUUGGCCUGGGGCGCGCCUGCCCCGACCCGUCCCGCACCACUGCUCCCGCCUGUUUUACGUCCGUGGUUGCAUCCUGCUGCAUUGGGAUGUGUUUGAAAGGAAAAGAGAGGAAAAAAGCAGCUUUUCUUGUAACCGCCGCGGAGGGAAAGUGGAGACGGUGCCGAAGCAGCACCAAGCGGAGCGUGGCACGAAGGCCUUUGGCUUCGGCCUCGUCCUGCGGCAGAGGGUCCUGGUUGACGAGCCUGGGGAGGCCCGAGUCGUGCUGCCCCAGCCCUGGGAGCAGAGAUCUGGGGCCGGCUCUCCCUGGGGAGAGCGGGGAGCCAGCCCCGCGCCGCACGGGGCCCUUGUGCCCCGCCGUGCAGGAAGCGCCGGCGGGAAAGGGAGGCGCUUUCUCCUGCAGAGGGCACUGGGAAGUUGUGCUUUCGGCUCGUCGGGGAAGAGCCCAAGCGGUCAGUGGAGCUGCUGUCGACAUGCCUGUCCCCUUCCCUCGUCCGCCCGUCCCAGCCGACGAGCCUGGACGCCUGGGCCGGGCGCGGGAGGCGCGCGGGGCGGAUGCGGGCCCUUGUUCGCACGCCGUCGCGCUCUGCGGCUCCGCUGCUGUUUGUCCCCGUGGCCGCCCAGACGCCCGUGCUGGAGCGGGAUGGGCUUCUGACUGGGGCCUGCCAUAAACCCAACCACCUGGGAAGACCGGAGAGGAACAAGUUUCUGUCAGGAAGUGUGCUCUUGCUGAAACGUGUUGCAAAAUCCUGUCAUUUUACUGGGAAAAAAAUCAAGGAGAAAUGU